rnacentral:rRNA from 1 species
UACGAGGAGGGCUAGCGUUGUUCGGAAUCACUGGGCGUAAAGAGCGUGUAGGCGGCCAGAUAAGUCCGCUGUGAAAUCUCGGGGCUCAACUUCGAGCUGUCGGUGGAAACUGUCUGGCUAGAGUCCGGAAGAGGAGAGUGGAAUUCCCGGUGUAGCGGUGAAAUGCGCAGAUAUCGGGAAGAACACCCGUGGCGAAGGCGGCUCUCUGGGACGGUACUGACGCUGAGACGCGAAAGCGUGGGGAGCGAACAGG